CUAAUGAGAAACCAAAGUCCUUGGGGUUUUGGGGGGAGUAUGGUCGCAAGGCCGAAACUUAAAGGAAUCGACGGAAGGACACCACCAGCAGUGGAGCCUGCGGCUUAAUUUGAUUCAACACGGGAAAACUCACCACGGCAAAAAACUGAUAUGAUUGACAGCUUGAUAGCGCUUUCUUGAUCCGGUAGCAAGUGGUGCAUGGCCGUUCUUAGUUGGUGGAGUGAUUUGUCAGGUUAAUUCCCUAAACGAACGAGACCUUAACCUGCUAAAUAGGUGCGUUUACUUUCUAGGCGUGACCUUCUUAGAGGGACUAUAGAUGUAAAUCUAUGGAAGUUUGAGGCAAUAACAGGUCCGUGAUGCCCUUAGAUGUCCUGGGCCGCACGCGUGCUACACUGAUGCAUGCAGCAAGUUACCUAACUCGAAAGGGGAUGGGAAAUCUUCACAAUGUGCAUCGUGCUUGGGAUAGAUCCUUGUAAUUAUGGAUCUUGAACGAGGAACUCCUAGUAAGCAUAAGUCACUACCUUAUGCUGAUUACGUCCCUGUCCUUUGUACACACCGCCCGUCGCUCCUACCGAUUGAGUGAUUCGGCGAAUGCUUCGGACCGGCUCAUUAGAGCUGGAAAGUUGUGUAAGCCAUAUCACUUAGAGGAAGGAUAAGGCGUAACAAGGUUUCCGUAGGUGAACGGGCAGAAGGAUC
rnacentral:rRNA from 1 species